rnacentral:tRNA from 7 species
GGCCCCUUAGCUCAGUGGUUAGAGCAGGCGACUCAUAAUCGCUUGGUCGACAGUUCAAGUCUGUCAGGGGCCACCA